UACGUAGGGGGCAAGCGUUGUCCGGAUUUAUUGGGCGUAAAGAGCGUGUAGGCGGCCUUACAGGUCAGCUGUGAAAACUCGAGGCUCAACCUCGAGACGUCGGUUGAAACCGUAUGGCUAGAGUCCGGAAGAGGAGAGUGGAAUUCCCGGUGUAGCGGUGAAAUUCGUAGAUAUUGGGAAGAACACCGGUGGCGAAGGCGGCGACCUGGUCAAUUACUGACGCUGAGGCGCGAAAGCGUGGGGAGCAAACAGG
rnacentral:rRNA from 1 species